UACGUAGGGUGCGAGCGUUGUCCGGAAUUAUUGGGCGUAAAGAGCUCGUAGGCGGUUUUGUCGACGUCGGACUGUGAAAAACUGGGGGCUUAACUCUCAGCUUGCAGUUGAUACGGGCAGACUUGAGUUCGGUAGGGGAGGACUGGAAUUCCUGGUGUAGCGGUGAAAUGCGCAGAUAUCGACUUGGAACGCCGAAGGUGAAAACAGGUCGGCUGGGGAUGUGCCGACGCUGAGACACGAAAGCCAGGGGGAGCAAACGGG
rnacentral:rRNA from 1 species